GGUGAGAUAGCUCAGUUGGUUAGAGCAUCGGAUUCAUAACCCGAAGGUCGGGAGUUCAAAUCUCCUUCUCACUA
rnacentral:tRNA from 1 species